GAAUAAGGUUCUGGUACUGACCUGUAUAUACAACCACUCCAGUACCCUGGACAUUGAAUAAGGUUCUGGUACUGACCUGUAUAUACAACCACUCCAGGACCCUGGACAUUGAAUAAGGUUCUGGUACUGACCUGUAUAUACAACCACUCCAGGACCCUGGACAUUGAAUAAGGUUCUGGUACUGACCUGUAUAUACAACCACUCCAGGACCCUGGACAUUGAAUAAGGUUCUGGUACUGACCUGUAUAUACAACCACUCCAGUACCCUGGACAUUGAAUAAGGUUCUGGUACUGACCUGUAUAUACAACCACUCCAGGACCCUGGACAUUGAAUAAGGUUCUGGUACUGACCUGUAUAUACAACCACUCCAGGACCCUGGACAUUGAAUAAGGUUCUGGUACUGACCUGUAUAUACAACCACUCCAGUACCCUGGACAUUGA